GACGAACGCUGGCGGCGUGCCUAAUACAUGCAAGUCGAGCGCAGGAAAUCGACGGAACCCUUCGGGGGGAAGUCGACGGAAUGAGCGGCGGACGGGUGAGUAACACGUAAAGAACUUGCCCUCAGGUCUGGGAUAACCACGAGAAAUCGGGGCUAAUACCGGAUGGGUCAUCGGACCGCAUGGACCGAGGAUGGAAGGCGCCUCGGCGUCGCCUGGGGAUGGCUUUGCGGUGGAUUAGGUAAGUGGUGGGGUAAUGGCCCACCAAGGCGACGAUGCAAAGCCGACCUGAAAGUGGGGACGGCCACACUGGGACUGAGACACGGCCCAGACUCCUACGGGAGGCAGCAGUAGGGAAUCUUCCACAAUGGACGAAAGUCUGAUGGAGCAACGCCGCGUGAACGAUGAAGGCCUUCGGGUCGUAAAGUUCUGUUGUAAGGGAAGAACAAGUGCCGCAGGCAAUGGCGGCACCUUGACGGUACCUUGCGAGAAAGCCACGGCUAACUACGUGCCAGCAGCCGCGGUAA
rnacentral:rRNA from 1 species